CUGGAUGGGGCAAAAUGCUAUUGGGCAGGUUUUGGUGGGGCUUCUUUUAAAUUUUGGUGGGGUUUUUCAACACUGGGCUAGGUGCUGAGUGUAGAGCCGGGCGUGUGUUGAGUGCAGA